UUGGCAGCCCUGGAUUAUGAAGUCUUCUCUUUUCCUACUGAACAGGUGCAGCAUGGGCAGAGGUACAGUACAAGUUUCCAUACAAAGUGGAAUUCCAAUGUCUGUCUAACCUGAAAGUAGAGCCCACCUUUAAACAUGAGAAGGUCUGUUUCCAUGACACUUAAGACAACCAGUUACA
ensembl:misc_RNA